rnacentral:rRNA from 1 species
GAAAUUCCGUCGGAAUCUGGGAGGACCAUCUCCUAAGGCUAAAUACUCUCUAGUGACCGAUAGUGAACCAGUACCGUGAGGGAAAGGUGAAAAGCACCCCGGAAGGAGAGUGAAAUAGAACCUGAAACCGUGUGCUUACAAGUAGUCAGAGCCCGUUAAUGGGUGAUGGCGUGCCUUUUGUAGAAUGAACCGGCGAGUUACGAUUUGAUGCAAGGUUAAGCAGUAAAUGUGGAG